UACGGGGGGGGCAAGCGUUGUUCGGAUUUACUGGGCGUAAAGGGCGCGUAGGCGGUCAGCACAAGUCAGUUGUGAAAUCUCCGGGCUUAACUCGGAAAGGUCAACUGAUACUGUGCGACUAGAGUGCAGAAGGGGCAACUGGAAUUCUCGGUGUAGUGGUGAAAUGCGUAGAUAUCGGGAGGAACACCAGUGGCGAAGGCGACUACCUGGCCUGUUCUUGACGCUGAGGCGCGAAAGCUAGGGGAGCAAACGGG
rnacentral:rRNA from 1 species